ensembl:misc_RNA Metazoa_SRP Metazoan signal recognition particle RNA
GCAGGAUGUGGUGGUGCACAUCUGUGGUCCCAGCCACACAGGAGGCUGAGGUGGGAGGAUUACUUGAGCCCAGGAGAUUGAGGCUGCAGUGAGGCAAGAUUGGUCCACUGCACUCCAGCCUGGGCAACAGAGUGAUACCCUGUCUCAA